rnacentral:ncRNA from 1 species
CAUCAAGAGACGACGGAGGGACUGGCCUUAUGAUGUCGCAGCAACCUUCAGUAUUGAAAAGGUGCUAAAUCCAACAGAUUACGAUUUCUGGAAGAUG